GAGCUGGCGGAGGUGGGACGGAUGCUCCUGACGACUAUUGCUGGCUAUAAAGCACAAAGUCCAGGUCACAUCCCACCGCAUCCAUGAGCCGCUGGAACGUCUGUGUGGCGUUCUUCAGGCCGAACGGCAUUCGGAGGAACUCGAACAGGCCGAACGGGGUGAUGAGUGCUGUUUUGGGGAUGUCUUCAGGGUGCACCGGGAUUUGAUGGUAUCCCCGGAGGAGGUCUACUUUGGAAAAUAUUCUUGCCCUGUGCAGGUUUGCUGAAAAGUCCUGUACGUGCGGCACGGGGUAGCGGUCUGGAGUGGUAGCCUCGUUCAGUCUGCGGUAGUCGCCGCAUGGUCUCCAACCCCCAGCUGCUUUGGGCACCAUGUGCAGGGGGGAGGCCCAUGGGCUGUCAGACCUCCGUAUGAUCCCCAAUUCCUCCAUCCUCUUGACCUCCUCCUUCGCCAGGCGGAGCUUUUCUGGGGGGAGCCUUCAUGCGCGGGCGUGGAGGGGUAGUCCCUUGGUCGGGGUGUGGUGCUGAACCCCGUGUCUGGGCAUGGCUGCCGUGAACUGCAGUGCCAGAAUCGAUGGAUAGUCCGCCAGGAUUCUGGUGAAUUCGUUGUCUGACAGCGUGAUGGAGUCCAGUUGUGGGGCCAGCAACUUGGCUUCACCCAGGGAGAACGUCUGGAAAGUCUCGGCAUAUACCAGUCUUUUCCCUUGCAAGUCGACCAGCAGGCUGUGAGCUCACAAGAAGUCCGCCCCCAGGAAUGGUUGGGCCACGGCGGCCAGUGUGAAGUCCCACGUGAACCGGCUGGCGCCGAACUGCAGCUGCACUGUGCAGGUGCCAUAGGUCCGUAUUGUACUGUCGUUUGCAGCCCUCAGGGUGGGUCCUGGCUUCCUGUUGCGGGUGUCAUACCCCGUUGGGGACAAGGUGCUGAUUUCUGCUCCGGUGUCAACCAAGAAGCGGCAUCCUGACUGUUUGUCCCAGACAUACAAGAGGCUGUCCUGGCGGCCAGCCACCAUAGUCAUUAGUGGCAACUGGCCCUGCCCCUUGCAGGGCGGGCGACACGGCGGGCUUCUGUGCCCCACCGAUAGUGGUAGAAAUACCACUGUUCACUGUCCUCCUCACUCCUGCCUCUGUGUUGGGUGAGUGGCCUGGUAAUCUGACCAAUGGACACCACGCUCUCACUCUUGGCUUUCCACAGCACAUCUGCCUGGGCCGCCACCUUCUGGGGGUAGCUGAAAUCUGCAUCGGCCAGCAGCAGAUGUAUGUCCUCGGGCAGUUGCUCUAGGAAUACUUGCUCGAACAUAAGGCAGGGCUUGUGUCUGUCAGCCAGGUCCAGCAUCUCGUUCAUCAAUGCUGACGGCAGUCUGCCUCCCAAACCGUCCAGGUGAAGCAGGCGGGCACCCCGCUCACGCCGGGAGAGGCCAAAGGUCCAAUGAGCAGCGCUUUGAAUGCUUCAUAUUUGCGUUCUUACGGAGGCGACUGUAUGAAAUCCGCAACCUGGGCGGCUGUCUCCUGGUCAAGGGCGCUCAUCACAUGAUAAUAACGCGUGGAAUCAGAAGAUAUCUGCCGAAUCUGGAACUGGGCUUCUGCUUGGCUAAACCACACGCGUGUACGCAGCGUCCAGAAAGUCGGCAGUUUUAGCGAAACUGCAUGAACAGAUGAAGAGACGGUCAUCUUUGGUCCAAGUCCCGUUUGGAACAUCAGGGUCACCAAUGUAGCGAUGUACUACAUACAGAGCUAGAGACAACGACACGCAGUUGGUAAGUCGUUUCGAGACUAGUUUAUUCAAACUUCGCAGCGCUGGCAUUUAAUCCCUAGCACCCGCCCUCUCUGGGCGGAAAUGACGUCAGAGGUGCAUUACCAAAGGCUCCCCCCGCGCGCUGGCUAUUUGUGAGCCGGUUCGCCUGUGCAGAAUGUGGGUUGCCAUAGUACUAGGUUUUCUAAAAUUGACUCCUUCUGCCUUAGGCCACAAAGUUAUCAAUCACCCCUCGUAUACUGGUCUUGCAGGGUUUCCACCUGAUAUCUCCUGGGAGAAGCUGAGAACCCGACUUAAAAUCAUAGCCAUCUAAGAGUAUGGUGACUGUGAACUUGUUAGCUUCGUUUUCACCACUAUCAGUCAUGUAUGUCCCAGGUGGAGACUCAGGAAUACCGUUGCAAUAUGGUGUAGAAGAAUUCUUCAUUGCUGUUUCCAGAACAAUUUGUUCUACCGGUCAGAGUUGCUAGCCCUAAGCUGAACCCCCAAACCUAGGGAACUGGUGUACCACUCAUAUUCUGGCCUCUAACCUUAGACCUGCUUGGCAUGGGUGACCCGACCAAGAGCCAAAGCGUAAAGCCCUGACUCCAGCCAACACGGCUCUCCAGGUCAUUGAGGCAGGCAAGGGCCAAACCCUACGACAAGGUUGUGGUCCUCUUGGAGGAGCUUUAUUUACAGUAAUAGUUCUAUUUGUCACGUGAAACUGGAAAUAUACAGUGAAAUGUGUCAUUUAUGCCAAUAAGCAACACUGAUUGUGUGCUGGGGCAGCCUGCAAGUGUUACCACGCUUCCAGCGGCAACCUAGUAUACCCACAAUUUCUUAACCCAUACAUAAUUGCUGUUUCUGUAACAAUUUUGGAGAGAAUUCUAUCCGGCUGCAUCACCGUCUGGUAUGGGGUGGGCUACACACAGGAUCAAAGUAAGCUGCAGAGAGUCAGCCCCAUCGUAGGCACUAUCCUCCGUAGUAUCCAGGACAUCUUCAGGGAGCGGUGCCUCAGAAAAGGUGGCGUCCAUCAUUAAGGGCCCCCAUCACCCAGGACAAAGAUAACUGAUAUUAAACCUGAUUCUGACAUUUCGAAUGUGGGAAGGAAUGGGUGAGAAAAUACAAACAGUGACGGGAAUUGAACCCCUGAUCACUGGCCCAUAAAACAAAGUUUCAAAGGUUCAGUCAUUAUCAAAGCAUGCGUCCAUAUACAACUCUGAAAUUUGUCUUCUCCAGAUAGUAAAGAAAGAGCAUGGAAGUUGUUCAGCGAGAAGCAAGAAACCCACCCCACCCACAACAAAAUAGAAUGACAUCCUGAUAAUCAAUACCCAAAACUCCAACUCCCCUCCACCCCCGCUCCCAUCCCUGCACAAAACGGAACAAGAACAUCGACCCCCAAAAAACAACCCCC